GCUUAACACAUGCAAGUCGAACGGGAAAGGGGAGCAAUCCCUGAGUACAGUGGCGUACGGGUGAGUAACACGUGGGUGAUCUGCCCUUUGGUGGGGAAUAACCCUGGGAAACCGGGGCUCAAUACCGCAUAAGCCUGAGAAGGGAAAGCCGAAAGGCGCCGGAGGAGGAGCCCGCGGCCGAUUAGCUGGUUGGUGAGGUAACGGCCCACCAAGGCUGAGAUCGGUAGCCGGCCUGAGAGGGCACUCGGCCACACUGGCACUGAAACACGGGCGCAGACUCCUACGGGAGGCAGCAGUGGGAUAUUCUAGAAAUCUCNUACAUAUCUCAG
rnacentral:sRNA from 1 species